rnacentral:rRNA from 1 species
CCUACGGGAGGCUGCAGUGGGGAAUAUUGGGCAAUGGGCGAAAGCCUGACCCAGCAACGCCGCGUGAAGGAAGAAGGAUUUCGGGUUGUAAACUUCUUUUGACAGGGGAGAGCAGAAGACGGUACCUGUCGAAUAAGCACCGGCUAACUACGUGCCAGCAGCAGCGGUAAUACGUAGGGGGCAAGCUUUAUCCGGCUUUACUGGGUGUAAAGGGAGCGUAGACGGCGCUGCAAGUCCGGAGUGAAAGCCCAUGGCUUAACAGUGGUACUGCUCUGGAAACUGUGGAGCUUGAGUGCUGGCGGGGCAGGCGGAAUUCCUAGUGUAGCGGUGAAAGGCGUCGAUAUUAGGAGGAACACCGGCGGCGAAGGCGGCCUGCUGGACCGUAACUGACGUUGAGGCUCGAAAGCGUGGGGAGCAAACAGGAUUAGAUACCCCGGUAGUC